CGAGCGAGCUUGCCUAGAUGAUUUUAGUGCUUGCACUAAAUGAAACUAGAUACAAGCGAGCGGCGGACGGGUGAGUAACACGUGGGUAACCUGCCCAAGAGACUGGGAUAACACCUGGAAACAGAUGCUAAUACCGGAUAACAACACUAGACGCAUGUCUAGAGUUUGAAAGAUGGUUCUGCUAUCGCUCUUGGAUGGACCUGCGGUGCAUUAGCUAGUUGGUAAGGUAACGGCUUACCAAGGCAAUGAUGCAUAGCCGAGUUGAGAGACUGAUCGGCCACAUUGGGACUGAGACACGGCCCAAACUCCUACGGGAGGCAGCAGUAGGGAAUCUUCCACAAUGGACGAAAGUCUGAUGGAGCAACGCCGCGUGAGUGAAGAAGGGUUUCGGCUCGUAAAGCUCUGUUGGUAGUGAAGAAAGAUAGAGGUAGUAACUGGCCUUUAUUUGACGGUAAUUACUUAGAAAGUCACGGCUAACUACGUGCCAGCAGCCGCGGUAAUACGUAGGUGGCAAGCGUUGUCCGGAUUUAUUGGGCGUAAAGCGAGUGCAGGCGGUUCAAUAAGUCUGAUGUGAAAGCCUUCGGCUCAACCGGAGAAUUGCAUCAGAAACUGUUGAACUUGAGUGCAGAAGAGGAGAGUGGAACUCCAUGUGUAGCGGUGGAAUGCGUAGAUAUAUGGAAGAACACCAGUGGCGAAGGCGGCUCUCUGGUCUGCAACUGACGCUGAGGCUCGAAAGCAUGGGUAGCGAACAGGAUUAGAUACCCUGGUAGUCCAUGCC
rnacentral:rRNA from 1 species